rnacentral:rRNA from 1 species
AUGAGUUGCGAACGGGUGAGUAACGCGUAGGUAACCUGCCUCAUAGCGGGGGAUAACUAUUGGAAACGAUAGCUAAUACCGCAUAACAGUAUUUACUGCAUGGUAGAUACUUGAAAGGAGCAAUUGCUUCACUAUGAGAUGGACCUGCGUUGUAUUAGCUAGUUGGUGGGGUAACGGCUCACCAAGGCAUCGAUACAUAGCCGACCUGAGAGGGUGAUCGGCCACACUGGGACUGAGACACGGCCCAGACUCCUACGGGAGGCAGCAGUAGGGAAUCUUCGGCAAUGGGGGCAACCCUGACCGAGCAACGCCCCGUGAGUGAAGAAGGUUUUCGGAUCGUAAAGCUCUGUUGUAAGAGAAGAACUGUGAGAAGAGUGGAAAGUUUCUUNCUUGACGGUAUCUUACCAGAAAGGGACGGCUAACUACGUGCCAGCAGCCGCGGUAAUACGUAGGUCCCGAGCGUUGUCCGGAUUUAUUGGGCGUAAAGCGAGCGCAGGCGGUUUGAUAAGUCUGAAGUAAAAGGCUGUGGCUUAACCAUAGUACGCUUUGGAAACUGUCAAACUUGAGUGCAGAAGGGGAGAGUGGAAUUCCAUGUGUAGCGGUGAAAUGCGUAGAUAUAUGGAGGAACACCGGUGGCGAAAGCGGCUCUCUGGUCUGUAACUGACGCUGAGGCUCGAAAGCGUGGGGAGCGAACAGGAUUAGAUACCCUGGUAGUCCACGCCGUAAACGAUGAGUGCUAGGUGUUGGGUCCUUUCCGGGACUCAGUGCCGCAGCUAACGCAUUAAGCACUCCGCCUGGGGAGUACGACCGCAAGGUUGAAACUCAAAGGAAUUGACGGGGGCCCGCACAAGCGGUGGAGCAUGUGGUUUAAUUCGAAGCAACGCGAAGAACCUUACCAGGUCUUGACAUCCCAGUGACCGUCCUAGAGAUAGGAUUUUUCUUCGGAACACUGGUGACAGGUGGUGCAUGGUUGUCGUCAGCUCGUGUCGUGAGAUGUUGGGUUAAGUCCCGCAACGAGCGCAACCCCUAUUGUUAGUUGCCAUCAUUCAGUUGGGCACUCUAGCGAGACUGCCGGUAAUAAACCGGAGGAAGGUGGGGAUGACGUCAAAUCAUCAUGCCCCUUAUGACCUGGGCUACACACGUGCUACAAUGGCUGGUACAACGAGUCGCAAGUCGGUGACGGCAAGCUAAUCUCUUAAAGCCAGUCUCAGUUCGGAUUGUAGGCUGCAACUCGCCUACAUGAAGUCGGAAUCGCUAGUAAUCGCGGAUCAGCACGCCGCGGUGAAUACGUUCCCGGGCCUUGUACACACCGCCCGUCACACCACGAGAGUUUGUAACACCCGAAGUCGGUGAGGUAACCUUUUAGGAGCCAGCCGC